UACGUAGGGUGCGAGCGUUGUCCGGAAUUACUGGGCGUAAAGAGCUCGUAGGUGGUUUGUCGCGUUGUUCGUGAAAUCUCACGGCUUAACUGUGAGCGUGCGGGCGAUACGGGCAGACUAGAGUACUGCAGGGGAGACUGGAAUUCCUGGUGUAGCGGUGGAAUGCGCAGAUAUCAGGAAGAACACCGGUGGCGAAGGCGGCUCUCUGGGCCUUACCUGACGCUGAGGAGCGAAAGCGUGGGGAGCAAACAGG
rnacentral:rRNA from 1 species